AUUGAACGCUGGCGGCAGGCCUAACACAUGCAAGUCGAGCGCGCGGCGGACGGGUGAGUAAUGUAUGGGGAUCUCCCUGAUGGCGGGGGAUAAAUACUGGAAACGGUAGCUAAUACCGCAUACCCUCAGCUGAACCCAUAUGGGAUUCGCUAAGAGGUAAGGUAACGGCUUACCUAGGCGACGCUCCCUAGCUGGUCUGAGAGGAUGAUCAGCCACACUGGGACUGAGACACGGCCCAGACUCCUACGGGAGGCAGCAGUGGGGAAUAUUGCACAAUGGGCGCAAGCCUGAUGCAGCCAUGCCGCGUGUAUGAAGAAGGCCUUCGGGUUGUAAAGUACUUUCAGUCGGGAGGCGUUACCGACAGAAGAAGCACCGGCUAACUCCGUGCCAGCCGCCGCGGUAAUUC
rnacentral:rRNA from 1 species